GAAAGUUCUCGCGCCCGCCGCGCCCCGCGCCCGUCCCGCCGCCCCCGCCCGCCCUACGGGGCGCAGCAGGCGCGAAAACUUUACCAUGCGGGCAACCGUGAUAAGGAAACCCCGAGUGCCAGACAAUACGGGCUGUCCAUCAGUGCAAAGAGCUGGUGAAGAAAGGGCCGGGCAAGACCGGUGCCAGCCGCCGCGGUAAUACCGGCGGCUCGAGUGGUGGCCGCUAUUACUGGGUUUAAAGGGUCCGUAGCUUGAUAGACGGGUC
rnacentral:rRNA from 1 species